rnacentral:lncRNA from 1 species
UGUGGCCACAAACCCCAGGUUCCUCAGCCCGGUGAUUCCCAAAGCCUGCUGGGUGGACAACGAGAAGCCACGUCCCAGGACAGGCUCUGCCUCUGGAUCAAGUGUGGGUCUCUUCAGUUUUUGAAAACUCAUCAAGCUGCCAACUCACGCGCGUGUCUGUCUGUGUACAGUGCUCCAGUCAGAGGUGCCAGAGAACAGGAAGCCCACCUCUCUGUGCUCCCACACUGGGCUUUGGGCAGAGCUCUGCGUUUGCAUGGCUGUGUGGGAAAGGGACGUCCAGCAGCCACAUCAAGUCUUCCGCUCUCCCUGUGGUCACGGCCGUGGUGCAGUCCUUUUCCAGACCCUGGGAGGGGAAGAUGGAACCCGCUAAAUCCGGCCAAGGCUCCCGAGACGGAUGGUUCUGGCCAGGGACGGAGGAGGCCAGGCUCCCUCCUGAGCUGUGGCUAGGACUUGGCCAGCACAACGCAGGUCAACGGCACCUUACAGAGGGCUGUGUAUCUCAGCAGAAGUCCUCCAUGAUGGCUCACUGCGAGAUUCUCACUCACCGACCGAACCACUGCAUUCGCCCAGGGACCCGCAGACUCCAUGUGGACGGCCUGUAAGCAGAGACGAGAACCAAGACAAGAAGCUGGUCAUGCUCACCCACCAGCCUGAGGAUUCUGAGAGGUAAUCGUGCGUUUCACUUGGAGAUCAUGCGCCCGUAACGCAGUGGUCUAAUCAGAAUGGCUCUGCUUGCUGACAAAGUUCUGGUUCUCUUAGCACACAGGGGAUGGGCCUGGGGAAGUAGCUAGGAAGCAGACCGUGGCCGUUGUUGGACUGUUGGCCUGUUUUCUUUCAUUGCCAUCCAAGGACGGGAAGCAUGGUGGGCUAUGCAAGUCUUUGAUUUUUAAAGUAUUUGUCAAUUUUCAUUGAUGAGCUUUGGUACUUGGGGUGAUUCCUCUUCAACGGUGUAAAUUUCUCCAAGGAAACAACUCUAUUCACCAAUCAGAUGAAGGAGUAGCUGUGUCUGUCCUCCUGUUGGUCUGGUCCUUAGCUCAGGUAUAGGAUGAAGGUUUCUAAGUGCUCAUCAAGCAUUGCCUUCCUCAGCCACUCUGCUUGUGCAGGCAGUAGGCAAGCUUGCCCUCAAGCCUCGCCCUGUUGCUGGCCUAGAGAGCUGUCCUCUGCACCUCACUUGGCACCUCUGAGUGCUGCAGCUGCUUGCUGAAGGUCGAGGAGGCCGGACCCUCUCCCCAUGCACUGGCACUCAGAAGUGCAGAGCAGAGUAUGUGCCUAAGCACCAGAGCAGGGAGCUUGCCCUUUCAAGUUAAAAAUAGUCCAGGAAAUACCAAGACUCUUGUUCUUUUUUUUUGGGGGGGGGGGGCGGCAGGGGUAAUCAGGAAUUGAACCCAGGGGUUCUAAACCACCAAGUCAAUCCUCAGCCCUUUUUAUUUAUUCUUUAAUUUUGAGACAGGGUCUCACUAAGUUGCUUAGGGCCUAGCUAAGUUGCUGAGGCUGGCCUUGAACUUGUGAUCCUCCUGCCUCAGCCUCCCGAGCUGGGAUUCCUGUUGUGUGACACAGCGUCCAGCAAGACCCAUGUUCUAAAUCAGCCUUUCUCACACAAGG